GGAGAGAUGCCUGAGCGGUUGAAAGGGCUAGUCUCGAAAACUAGUGUGGGCUCCGGCUCACCGUGAGUUCGAAUCUCACUCUCUCCG
rnacentral:tRNA from 1 species